AUGAUGCUGCUCCUAAAGAAAAGUAGGGAGUCGGACAUUCUUAUCAGACAGCUGACGAGUUGGUCUGAAGCUCAGAGCUACUGCAGAGAGUACUACACAGACCUGGCCAGUGUGAGGAACCAGGCUCAGAACCAUGGAGGUUUCUACCAACUGUCGUCAUGCCUCACCGGCCAAUACGUAUUUGCUAAUGACCCCAAGACCUGGAUUGAAGCACAGAGAUACUGCAGAGAGAAGUACACUGACCUGGCCACCAUAGAAAACAUUGAGGAUAUGAACAGAUUUAGACAAGUUGUCAAUGGAUACAAUGGAAGAGUCUGGAUAGGACUCUAUGAUGAUGUUAACAGAGGGACCAAUUCCUCCAAUCACUUCAAUUUGAUUAAUGAAAGACAAAGUUGGUCUGAGGCGCAGAGCUACUGCAGAGUGUACUACACAGACCUGGCCAGUGUGAGGAACCAGACUGAGAACCAGGAGACAUACACCAUGCUCUACCAACUGAGCCACAAAGGAACAGAGGACCAGUUGGGAGUUUUCCUGGCCACUAGAGUGGCCAAUGGUAGCAGCGUAUGGAUCGGCCUAUUCAGAGACUCCUGGAAGUGGUCAGACCAGAGCGACUCCUUCAGAUACUGGGUCGAGGAACGUCUGAGGGUUGUGUUGAAGUAUGGAUCACUAACAAUGGACUAUGGAACGAUAUUAUCUGCACUCAUCCAGUCUUUUGUCUGCUACUACACAGGAUAUGCUGGAGUGCAGGUGAAAUUCACCUCGACAACAGCGUUAACAGAUUCUAACAUCACCGAACUGGUCUUGAAGAAGCUACAAGAUGAACUGAGACAGCGAGAGAUAUCCGACUCUGUCACCCUGCGAUGGAAGAAAAAAGACUGAUUCUGACUGAGGUGGAUGGAAGGAGGGAGGAGAAGAUAGAAGGACGGAGGAGAUGAGUGGAUGAAGAGAAUGAAGAGAGAUUCAUGUAUUUUUUUCAUGGAAAAUGUAGAAGAAAUCCAGCUCAGAAAGAAAGCUUUAUUGUUCGAUUUUUGUCCAACUCUUAAAAAGGAUAACAAUGCAUACUGAGCCCUUCACUAGGCUUAUAACAAACUAAUACAAAUUAAUUCGUGCUAUUUGUGAUUGAAAAUACACUGUAAUCACUCAUCUAAUAAUUUUUGAACAUACUAUAUCAACUAAAUCAACAUUCUUCA